AUUGAACGCUGGCGGCAGGCCUAACACAUGCAAGUCGAGCGGAUGAAGGGAGCUUGCUCCUGGAUUCAGCGGCGGACGGGUGAGUAAUGCCUAGGAAUCUGCCUGGUAGUGGGGGAUAACGUCCGGAAACGGGCGCUAAUACCGCAUACGUCCUGAGGGAGAAAGUGGGGGAUCUUCGGACCUCACGCUAUCAGAUGAGCCUAGGUCGGAUUAGCUAGUUGGUGGGGUAAAGGCCUACCAAGGCGACGAUCCGUAACUGGUCUGAGAGGAUGAUCAGUCACACUGGAACUGAGACACGGUCCAGACUCCUACGGGAGGCAGCAGUGGGGAAUAUUGGACAGUGGGCGAAAGCCUGAUCCAGCCAUGCCGCGUGUGUGAAGAAGGUCUUCGGAUUGUAAAGCACUUUAAGUUGGGAGGAAGGGCAGUAAGUUAACACCUUGCUGUUUUGACGUUACCAACAGAAUAAGCACCGGCUAACUUCGUG
rnacentral:rRNA from 1 species